rnacentral:lncRNA from 1 species
UGGAGAAGACCAGCAAAGAGAGCAGAGUAUGUAUGUGAACUUCAGUUCUGUAUUUUUAGUGAGGUGGGUUAAUGGAUUUUUAGUGAAAAGAAAUCUCAAACACAGCUGACCUGAAAGACUGGAAUUUUAGCUCUCUUCCUUCCCGGGGUUCUUUUUCCUCCCCCUUCCUCUCAAAGCCCUUUAAACCAGAUUGCUGGGUCAGUGACUCUUAUCCUGCCCGCCAGUUUCAAGGGUUUCUAGCUUUUUUGGCUUGGAAAGGAAAACUACUACCUGUAAGUAUCUGUUUUAUGUGUUUUUUUUUCAUCGUGACUGUGAAUGUUCUGUUAGUAGAAUGCCCCAGAGAUUGUUUAUGUGAUAUCAUUAAUGCCAAGUAACAAUGCAAGGCGUCUGCAAGAGUAGGCUUGCAAAAGUUUAAUUCUCCUGUUAACUCAGAAGGUGGCAACUUGCAGUGUUAGCAAACCAAAUGCCAAAAACGGGAUUCUUUUUAUUACGUGACACAAAUUUCUAACUCUCUUCUCAGUCCAUCCGCUCUGGCACUUGCCAAUGAAAUAAGCAUUUUUUAACUGUGUAAUUUUUUCCUCUGAAAUUAGAAUGUUUCUUCUCAGCUAAAUGAAAUGUCAAAGGGAAAAGACACAAAAAUGAACGAAACAGAUAAUAUCCUCACGGUACAAACAGAGAAAUUUGGAUGAGAUAAUUUUGGAUACCUUUGCUUUAGUUUAGUUAUAUUUGGAGACAUAUUUUCAAAAACAUGAUUUCUAUUUCAUUUUGGGGAAGAGAGAUAGUGCUGGGGAGGCAAAGAAAUGGCAUUGUUCUGAAGUUUUGGACUGAUUUUUAGGCUCUCUCAGCUCAGUACUGAGAUUUGGUCCAGAGACUUUGGUGCUUUCGUAAAGAGUUUCUUUUCAUUUUAUUUUGAAAUCCAGGAAACAAUUUCUGGCUUACGGAAAUAGUUCAUUGUUUUUAUGGUAUUUAAUUUUAAUUUUUGAUUUUUUUUUGUUAUUACUAUUGUACCCAGUCUUGUUGCUUGGUGUGCAUUACAAAGCUUAAAAAGAGCAUUUCCGGGAGCCAGUUGGUGUUUAUAGCCUGGGAAUCUUGCUGGAGAGAUUAACCUCUGUGGGGCUGCUUCACAGACCAGAGCUAGUGAUUCAAAUGCUCUUCAGGUUUCUGCUCUGGAAAACUGACACCCGCUGUUCCUGACUCUAGGUAAAGCUUGAAGAGCUGUGCCUCAGCCCCCUGCUUACACUUGACAAAGGUGCCUUCAGGCCGGGCGCGGUGGCUCAAGCCUGUAAUCCCAGCACUUUGGGAGGCCAAGACGGGUGGAUCACGAGGUUAGGAGAUCGAGACCAUCCUGGCUAACAUGGUGAAACCCCGUCUCUACUAAAAAAUACAAAAAACUAGCCGGGUGAGGUGGCGGGCCCUUGUAGUCCCAGCUACUCGGGAGGCUGAGGCAGGAGAAUGACGUGAACCUGGGAGGCGGAGCUUGCAGUGAGCUGAGAUCCGGCCACUGCACUCCAGCCUGGGCGGCAGAGCGAGACUCCGUCUCAAAAAAAAAAAAAAA